GCAGCAAAUAUAAAAUGUAUGGACCCUGCCUCAGGUUAUUCAAAUAACAUCCUCACCAUUGAUCAAAUGCUCAAGAAAAAGCAGACUUGUACAGUGGCCGAUGCAACUGCUAUUAAACAACAUGUGAAGAGAGCUACUGAUACCUAUAAUUUAGGAAUUGCCCUUGAACACCGAAAAGAAAUGCUAAACCUCUGGCAGAAGAUCCGAGGGGAUUUGAUUGGGAUAGACUCUGGAAAUGAGUCCUUUUAUGACACCUUUUCUACUUAUACAUGGUCCUGGAAUGUUUGCCAAGAAUUACUUUCUCCUAAGGACUUAAGGUUAUAUGAUGCCUAUGUGAAUAGAAAUUCCUCCCAUAACUCCAGAUCCUCUUCCUCAUCAGAUACCAGUGAAUGUGACACAGAUCCAGGAAGAAAAAGAAAACGGAAAGGUUUAAAGGGAUUUCAACAAUGAAAUUUCUACAUUUUCUAAACAGCUCA
rnacentral:sRNA from 1 species